rnacentral:rRNA from 1 species
UGGACAAUGGAUGGAAAUCUGAUCCAGCCAUGCCGCGUGCAGGAAGACGGCCCUAUGGGUUGUAAACUGCUUUUAUACGGGAGCAAUAAGGUCUAUGCAUAGAUUGAUGAGAGUACCGUAUGAAUAAGCAUCGGCUAACUCCGUGCCAGCAGCCGCGGUAAUACGGAGGAUGCGAGCGUUAUCCGGAUUUAUUGGGUUUAUCUAA